AGAGUUUGAUCCUGGCUCAGAACGAACGCUGGCGGCAGGCUUAACACAUGCAAGUCGAGCGCCCCGCAAGGGGAGCGGCAGACGGGUGAGUAACGCGUGGGAAUCUACCUUUUGCUACGGAAUAACUCAGGGAAACUUGUGCUAAUACCGUAUGUGCCCUUCGGGGGAAAGAUUUAUCGGCAAAGGAUGAGCCCGCGUUGGAUUAGCUAGUUGGUGGGGUAAAGGCCCACCAAGGCGACGAUCCAUAGCUGGUCUGAGAGGAUGAUCAGCCACACUGGGACUGAGACACGGCCCAGACUCCUACGGGAGGCAGCAGUGGGGAAUAUUGGACAAUGGGCGCAAGCCUGAUCCAGCCAUGCCGCGUGAGUGAUGAAGGCCCUAGGGUUGUAAAGCUCUUUCACCGGUGAAGAUAAUGACGGUAACCGGAGAAGAAGCCCCGGCUAACUUCGUGCCAGCAGCCGCGGUAAA
rnacentral:rRNA from 1 species